rnacentral:lncRNA from 1 species
GGGGGGCUUCGUCCUAAACGGCCCCCGGCUCGAAGCCCCGCAGGACCCGCACGUGGUGCCACGCGCAGGGAGGAGGAAGCAGGCAGCAAGGAGAGCGGCGCGCACGGGGGUCGUUUCUCCUCCCCUGGCCGCAGAGGAUCCGCUGCUGGGCGGUGACGCAGCCCGGGAGGAAGGGGACGAGGGGAAGAGAGGCCCUGGGCGCGGGACGUGCGCUGAGCGCAUCUCGAAGGGGAAGAAGCUUCAGGCCCGUGAGGAGACCGUUCAGAAUGAGGUGUACUCGGGACUUCCCGUAUUCCUCUUCUACGUCAAACCCACGCGGUGCCUGCCGGAGAUCACUUUCAAGGUCCUGAGAACGCGGCCACGGAGCAGGGACACCCCGCGGCGUCUGAGCUGA